rnacentral:lncRNA from 1 species
CCAAAAUCCACCAGAACCUCCCAAAACACCCCAAAAUGUCCCAAAAUCCACCAGAACUGCUCAAAACACCCCAAAAUGUCCCAAAAUCCACCAGAACAUCUCAAAACUCCCAAAAAUGUCCCCAAAUCCACCAGAACCUCUCAAAACAUCCCAAAAUGUCCCAAAAACCCACCAGAACUUCUCAAAACAACCCAAAAUGUCCCAAAAUCCAACAGAACCUCUCAAAACACCCAAAAAAUGAACCAAAACCUCUCAAAACACCCCAAAAUAUCCCAAAACCCACCAGAACCUCCCAAAACACCCCAAAAUGUCCCAAAAUCUCUCAAAACAACCAAAAUAUCCCAAAAACCUCUCAAAACAACCAAGAUAUCCCCAAAAUCCACAAAAACCUCUCAAAACACCCCAAAAAUGCACCAAAAACUUCUCAAACCACCCCAAAAAUGCACCAAAAAUCUCUCAACCCAAAAAAUGCAGCAAAACAUCUCAAAACGCCCCAAAAAUCCACCAAAAACCUCUCAAAACACCCCAAAAAUGCACCAAAACCCCUCAACCCAAAACCACCAUAAAAACCUUUCAAAACACCCCAAAACAACUCAAAAUUCCACAAAAACCUCACCAAACACCCCGAAAACGCACCAAAAAUCUCUCAACCCAAAAAUCCACCAAAAACCUCUCAAAACGCUCCAAAAUAUCCCAAAAAAUGCACCAAAACCUCUGAAAACAACCCAAAAUACCCUAAAAAUCCACCAAAACCUCUCAACCCAAAACCACCCCAAAAACCUUUCAAAACAUCCCAAAACAACUCAAAAAUCCACAAAAAACCCAAAACACCCCAAAAUGUACCAAACCCUCACAAAACACCCCAAAAUAUUCCAAAAAUCCACAAAAAACCUCUCAAAACAACCCAAAAAUGCACCAAAAAUCUCUCAACCCAAAAAUCCACAAAAACCUCUCAAAACACCCCAAAAAUCCACAAAAAACUCUCAAAAAAACCCAAAACUGCACCAAAACCUCUCAAAACAACCCAAAAUUCCCCAAAUCCCCCAAAAUCUCCCUUAAAUUUCCCAAAUCUCCCUUAAAAUUCCCAAAGUCCCCGAAAAAACUCCUUUAAAAUUCCCAAAUCCCCCCAAAAUCUCCCUUAAGUUUCCCAAAUCCCCCCAAAAUCUCUUUUAAAUUUCCAAAAUCCCCCAAAAUGUCACUUAAAAUUCCCAAAUCUCCAUUGAAAUUCCCAAAUCCCCCAAAAUCUCCCUUAAAAUUCCCAAAUCCCCCCCAAAAUCU